rnacentral:tRNA from 1 species
UGCGGGGUGGAGCAGUCUGGUAGCUCGUCGGACUCAUGAUCCGAAGGUCGUAGGUUCGAAUCCUACCCCCGCUACCA